rnacentral:rRNA from 1 species
GAGUUUGAUCAUGGCUCAGGAUGAACGCUGGCGGCGUGCCUAAUACAUGCAAGUCGAGCGAACAGACGGGGAGCUUGCUCCCCUGACGUUAGCGGCGGACGGGUGAGUAACACGUGGGUAACCUACCUAUAAGACUGGAAUAACUCCGGGAAACCGGGGCGAAUGCCGGAUAACAUGUUGGACCGCAUGGUCCUACAGUGAAAGACGGUCUUGCUGUCACUUAUAGGUGGACCCGCGCCGUAUUAGCUAGUUGGUAAGGUAACGGCUUACCAAGGCAACGAUACGUAGCCGACCUGAGAGGGUGAUCGGCCACACUGGAACUGAGACACGGUCCAGACUCCUACGGGAGGCAGCAGUAGGGAAUCUUCCGCAAUGGGCGAAAGCCUGACGGAGCAACGCCGCGUGAGUGAUGAAGGCCUGGUCGUAAACGUACUCGUUAUUAGGUAAGAACGAAAUAGUAGUAAGUAAAGUAAUAGUCACGUACGUUCGUACGGUACCGUAAC